CCUACGGGAGGCAGCAGUGGGGAAUUUUCCGCAAUGGGCGCAAGCCUGACGGAGCAACGCCGCGUGAGGGAUGAAGGCCUCUGGGCUGUAAACCUCUUUUAUCAAGGAAGAAGAUCUGACGGUACUUGAUGAAUAAGCCACGGCUAAUUCCGUGCCAGCAGCCGCGGUAAUACGGGAGUGGCAAGCGUUAUCCGGAAUUAUUGGGCGUAAAGCGUCCGCAGGCGGUCUUGUAAGUCUGUCGUUAAAGCGUGGAGCUUAACUCCAUUUGAGCGAUGGAAACUGUAAGACUAGAGUGUGGUAGGGGCAGAGGGAAUUCCCGGUGUAGCGGUGAAAUGCGUAGAUAUCGGGAAGAACACCAGUGGCGAAGGCGCUCUGCUGGGCCAUAACUGACGCUCAUGGACGAAAGCCAGGGGAGCGAAAGGGAUUAGAUACCCCUGUAGUCCUGGCCGUAAACGAUGAACACUAGGUGUCGGGGGAAUCGACCCCCUCGGUGUCGUAGCCAACGCGUUAAGUGUUCCGCCUGGGGAGUACGCACGCAAGUGUGAAACUCAAAGGAAUUGACGG
rnacentral:rRNA from 1 species